rnacentral:rRNA from 1 species
UACGGGGGGGGCAAGCGUUGUUCGGAAUUACUGGGCGUAAAGGGUUCGUAGGUGGCCUGUUAAGUCAGACGUGAAAUCCCUCAGCUCAACUGGGGAACUGCGUCUGAGACUGGUGGGCUUGAGUGCAGGAGAGGAACGCGGAAUUCCAGGUGUAGCGGUGAAAUGCGUAGAUAUCUGGAGGAACACCGGUGGCGAAGGCGGCGUUCUGGACUGCAACUGACGCUGAGGCGCGAAAGCGUGGGGAGCAAACAGG